UGUUUCUCUCUCUCUCUCUCUCUGCCUGCUUAUGAUCUCUGUCUACUUGUGAUCUCUCUGUCAAAUAAAUAAAAUAAAAUCUUUUUUUUUUUUUUUUUAAAAGACAAUUCAACCAACAAGAUAGGGGGUUCAUCUUCCUUUCUAAGAUGCCCACCCGGAAGGAAAAGACAGUCUAUGGACGCAGAGAGGACUAGCCAUAAAUGAGCGGAGGAUGGAACUCGUCAUUCAUGUGUCCAAGUCACCUCCUGGGAUAGAAAUGAGUCUCUCAAAAGAAGAUUCUGCCUGAUCAGCAGAAAUCCCUUCCCACAGCACGUCAAGCAGCUGGUGCAUUUACUUCCCUAACCCGGGACACAGUGAGACAAGG
rnacentral:lncRNA from 1 species